rnacentral:rRNA from 1 species
AUUGAACGCUGGCGGCAGGCCUAACACAUGCAAGUCGAGCGGAUGAAGGGAGCUUGCUCCUGGAUUCAGCGGCGGACGGGUGAGUAAUGCCUAGGAAUCUGCCUGGUAGUGGGGGAUAACGUCCGGAAACGGGCGCUAAUACCGCAUACGUCCUGAGGGAGAAAGUGGGGGAUCUUCGGACCUCACGCUAUCAGAUGAGCCUAGGUCGGAUUAGCUAGUUUGUGGGGUAAAGGCCUACCAAGGCGACGAUCCGUAACUGGUCUGAGAGGAUGAUCAGUCACACUGGAACUGAGACACGGUCCAGACUCCUACGGGAGGCAGCAGUGGGGAAUAUUGGACAAUGGGCGAAAGCCUGAUCCAGCCAUGCCGCGUGUGUGAAGAAGGUCUUCGGAUUGUAAAGCACCUUAAGUUGGGAGGAAGGGCAGUAAGUUAAUACCUUGCUGUUUUGACGGUACCAACAGAAUAAGCACCGGCUAACUUCGUG